GCCAAUCCAAUGCUCGGCACAGGGGUGGGCCAAAUGCAGUCUUGGCCAAUCAGGACCUCCUCAUAGAGAUUCAUUGAAUCAAUGCAUCUCAAUGCAAAAUAUUCAGCGUCUUCAUGGAGAGCGUGGGGACGCUGAACGUCAGGGCUGCUUUUUCGGCAGGACUGACCCAGGAAGCUCCUCCAGUGGCCAUCUAAGGAGUUGUAACUUGGAGGUGUUCCUAAAGGCAAUGUAAACACUGCCUUUUAUCUGAAAAGGCAGUGUUUGCAUGAAAAAAGCCUGUAGGGAACCAUUACUCACCAGAACAGCUACAUUAAGCUGUAGUUGUUCUGGUGACGAUAGUGUCCCUUUUUAAAUGCAACUUUAUACAGAC